CCCCACACAGUAUAACCUUACAAAUAUCAAUGCAUAUAUGUAAAUUUUCCCCACGCGGCAUGAUAGUGUUCUUACCUCUUCCAAAUUCACCGGGCAUUGUCAUAAUAUCAAUAUAUUUCUCCGAAUUCAUUGGGCAUUAUCAUAAUAUCACACAUUCCUCUAGACUCAAAUUAGAUAUCAUCAUAAUAUCACAUAUUCCUUCGAAUUCAUUGGGCAUCAUCAUAAUAUCACACAUUCCUCAAGACUUGAACUGGGAAUCAUCAUAAUAUCACACAUUCCUUUGGAGUCGAAUCAGGUAUCAUCAUAAUAUCAUAUAUUCCUCAAGAGUCGAAUUAGCCAUCAUCGUAAUAUCACAUAUUUCUCCAGAUACAACAACAUACAUCCACAUGCAUAGCCAAACCAAUAAGCAUACACAAAAGCUCACAAUAUUUAAAGAAGUAGGGAUGUGGGAUAACACUUGUCAUUUUACCUUACUAAUAAGCUUCACAUGUAAUAUGAGCAUCAACAACAACAUGGGUAUUUACCAAACGUGCAUAGCAAUCACUUAACAAAGGUAUUCAAGUUAUGAUCAUAAGAUAAUCUGAUAAUCGAGUGCAACCAUCACAACUCCUACACAUAUGUAUAUAGCUUGGACAAUUACCACGUAUCUAGGUCCCUAAGCAUUUACUUAGUUCAAGCUUAAGGUGGGUCAGAUCCCACUUCUGAAUAUCGAGAAUUCCAAGCUUACUAAUACAUAUCUAGUUUCUACUCGACAUUUUGCUAAGUCAUCCCUACCUUAUCAUAAUGGUGUACCAAUCCUUUCUAGGUUUACAGGGAAAGUCUCUUCAAGAAUCCUUUCUAAGUCAACCAAACACCAAGUUCAUCUUCUAUCUAGGCAUUAUAUAGGUCAAUACACUCCAAAUGAUAAAGAAGUAUGCCAUUCAUGUCUACUUAGAACAACUAUAGUGUUCUCACAUUUGUCAUGAGACCACAAUUAGGCUAACCAAGGUCCUAGACUAAGAGUCAAAUAUCACACUUUACAAAUCCAUGGCCUAUAGCAAUUAAUGAAUCCCAAGUUCACCAUUUAAUCAACUAUCAUGUAAAUUCCCCACCCAAUAUCACAAGAUAUAAAUGAUUAUAUUACAAACAAGCUCUACCUAACCUACCUUGAAUCCAAGCAACUCACGAACCAAUGAGUUUUUCAUCUCCUUUUUGAGAAGCUUCCCCUUCCACAAGAAAUGCUAUCAACAAUACAAUCUAAGUAUUACAACAAGAAUGACAAUACUCAUUAUAGCAUCAUUGUGCCAUGGGUUUCAAAUAGAUACCAAAACCCGCAAUUGGGUUUCACCCUUGGAAAGGAGUUUCCAAGACCAACCGAUAGCCUAAUUAUCUUUAGGAAGUUAAAACACUCAAGUAAUUCGAGUCAAUAACUCAAUUCUGGGGGUACAAUUGAUCCCCAAUGAUUUAGGGGUUUUGAGUCAAGAAACCAUAAAAUCGAU
rnacentral:lncRNA from 1 species